AUUUCGAGCUGACCAGACGCGUUUGGACCCUUUGAAGAUGACCUACACGAUUCUUUUACUUGCUUUGAUGGCCAGUUGCGUGGCUGCUGAACGCAUCCAGAGAGAAAGGCGAUGCCCUCUAGGCAUGGUCUACUGCGGACCCGGUGUCCAACCAGAGGAGACAAUGGUCGACGGAUGCCCGUCUUAUAAAUGCCCAGAACUGCAGAGGAUUUGUCCACCUAGUAUGGUCUAUUGCGGGCCUGGUGUCACCCCCGAAAAGGAGAUGAAGGAUGGAUGCCCAAUUUUCAAGUGUCCCAAGAUCAAGCCUUGUCCGCUUAAUAUGGUUUACUGCGGACCCGACGUCAUUCCAAUCAGAGAGAUGGUUGAAGGAUGCCCCGUUCACAGAUGCCCCGCCAAUUAGGUGCCUAAAUACUAUGAGACUCUAAGAUGACCACGUCACAACAGAGAACUUAUUGCCCUAGGGACGCCUGUAUCCCAAGACCUGUAAAGCACUCGGAAUUCUCCCAUUUUUCGGACUGGAACGAAUACGCGCAUUUCAUGUGUUUAACUGUUCAUCAACAAUUCACUUGUAAUUCGCAAUCUCACUAAUUGUAACUCGCAAUCUGUUUGUAAUUCGAAAUUUUGUUGCAAGGUGAAUUCAAAUAAAACCAAAUAGCAUAAAAUUA